UACAGAGGGUGCAAGCGUUACUCGGAUUUACUGGGCGUAAAGCGUGUGUAGGUGGUUGGGAAAGUCAAUUGUGAAAUCCCCGGGCUUAACUCGGGAACUGCUUUUGAUACUGUCUGACUAGAAUUCGGUAGAGGGAGGCGGAACUCCAGGUGUAGCGGUGAAAUGCGUAGAUAUCUGGAAGAACACCAAUGGCGAAGGCAACCGCCUGGGCCUGAAUUGACACUGAGACACGAAAGCGUGGGGAUCAAACAGG
rnacentral:rRNA from 1 species